UGCGGCACAAUGUGGAUAAAUUUCUUGCUGAAGGAAAACACGCUGUGGCUGGGAUUUGAACCCGCGUCCCUGUCAUUGAAAGACGAGAUUCGUAACCACUAGACCACAACGCCCCCACUUAUAACUUUAUUUCUUUCAAAAAUCUACUUGUACAUGAAUAAUGAUAUGAAUUCUAUAUGCCUUCAAAUGUUGCAUGAUGUACUAUUUUGGGCCCUGCAACAGAAAUUUGUCAGCAUUCUCAUGUUGAGGUUCUUAUUGAAAGCUUGUCUGAGAUUUAUCAAAUGUAGCAAAUAUUCAUGAGUAUAACUUGACCUCAGAAAUGUUUAUAUAUUCUUUAAACUUCAAGACUGUCAAAUUAAAAAAAAAUUGUUUAAAUGGAAUGUUAUAACAGAUGGGAGAUGCCCGCAUUGUUACGUGGACGAAGAUAAUGUACAUGCUUUUGUUGAGUGUAAACUGAAUAAGAGAUUCUUUUCUUAUUUGACAACAAUAGCGAAGUUGGAAUACAAUGUUGACCUUCAAAUAACAGAAAUGCAUUUCAUAAAGCCCACAAAGAAACCGGACUAGAUUCAUUUCUUAAAAUUGCUUUUUGGUGCAUCUACAAAUGUAUACUUAUAAGAAACAAAACAGGAAAAGAUUGUCAUGAAUUUAAUUUGGAAUAUUUGUUUGAAAAAGAAAUAUGUAAACAUGUGAUGUGACUUUGAAUGUUCAAUUAUGUAUAUAAUAAAUGCCCAUGAGGGUUUAAAAAAAAAAUGAAAACCCAUAUUUUUUUAUUGGAAAUAGACAUGAAAUAAAAUACCCAGAAAAUGUACAUGCAGCUCCAGAUUGAUGAGGCUCUAUCUCUUUAAUCGUUGAACGCCAAACAGGGUAGCUGCAACUCACAUCUUUUUACGUCUUUUGGUCUGACAUUGCCGGGGUUUGAACUCCCGACCUCCCGGUUGUAAGACGGACGCUCUGCCAACUGAGCCAACACAUCAGUGAUACCUUGAAGUUUUGUCUGAGGCUUACCCAUUGUAGCAGCAGUUAAUGAAUACAAUCUUGACUCCUAGAUUUGUCAUUUGUUCUUUGCUAUAGGAGUACCUUGUCAGUAGUUGUUGAGGUCCCAGAGAGAGAAUCUUCUCGUUUCUCAGCAAUGCUGGAUAUUGCCCAUGAGAUGCCAUAGCAACACUAUAGAGAAGGUGAACAAAGGGUUCGGACAGUAACAUCUUUGAUCCUGCAAUUGGCAACGGGGCGACAUUGUUCUGGCCGAGCAUGCUGGGAUCCGAGGAAUGUCCCAGGGAACAUCGCUCUUUGAAAGUCUGAGGAAUUAACCUUUUGCAAGCCUGAGAGACACGGACAAUGGCGACAAGAAUUGCCGCUUUGUGCUGGAUGCAGAGCGCGUGCCCAUCCCCUGUGAUCCGUGAGGCUCGAGACUAAAGGAAUUUGCCAGGCUUCAUAUCGGCAGAUGAAAGUCAAUUGCAAAGCCUCUUGUAGCUCUGAACAGAAGACGUGAUCCGAACAAACUUGCAAAUGCUGUGCUGAAUCUUAUGGUGAGGUCUCUGCUGCCAGUAGGACCUCCACUUGUCCUGCAUGGAUGGUAAUACUUGUUGCAGCCACUCGUUGUCCUCUCCCAAAUAUUAUGCUAAAUGUUGUUGCAAGAUAUUGACCAGUAGAACCUCCUUUUCAGCCGUGUUCAUUGGUACAUUUUUGCAGCAACUAGUGGCAAUCGUCACAAGAAUGUAGAUUGACUGAGGGUAUAUCAACAAAAAGCCAGAGACCCGCCAUUCCUGCAGUGCAGUAUGCUACUUGCAACCAGUCGUUGUGGUAGUAGACUGACGAUUUCGAUCAGUUUCUUUUGUCCGCAUGAUUGUUUUGUUGCAGCAUGGCUUUCCGAUGAGCAUGCAGAUGCCGCAAACCGACUCCUCUCUUGUUCCUGAACACGACAAUCCCAACAAAUAAAGGCGAAAAGAUGACUGCAUGUCCUCUUUCCAGAUGCUGCUCCAUUGGAAUGCAUCCAGGCAUCCCCCUCCACCGUUCUACCGCUGACGACCCCACCCCCAUACCAGGGGCGCAAACUUGCCCCCUCUUUCAUAAUCAAGUCAUUAUCCACACUUCACCAGCCUCUUCUUAUCCUCCAUCAUCCGGGCUUAGCAGCAUCUGCCAAAUUUACAUAAGAUGAAAAUCAGAAGUGGUAGAAAAAAGGGGCUUUCAGGCAGAUCAGAGCAUAAUAGGCCCCUUGGACAAACAAAAUAUAUCUCUGAAAAGCAGGGGGUAUAGAGACCAUUGUUCUGGCUAUCUCGCUGGCACGUGCCUCCACCAGUCCGCCACUAUCAUUGUGCAAAUACUCAGCCAUUUGUGGACAAUGUCGAAGGCAGAUGAGCGCGUGCCGUGAUGUGAUCAUCGGAGUUCAUCGGAAUUACGGCUGGGGAAACGGGAGCGGACAUCCAUCACCUGCUAAUUUCAACAUUGCUCAACACUCUUGCGUGAUUGUGUAAAUUGCUUUUGUGGGAUGGUUUACACAAAAAGGGGGCCGUGUAAAGUUUGGAUCAAGAACAAGAGUUUUGAG